UACGGGAGGGCAGCAGUGGGGAAUAUUGCACAAUGGGCGAAAGCCUGAUGCAGCUAUGCCGCGUGUAUGAAGAAGGCCUUAGGGUUGUAAAGUACUUUCAUCGGGGAGGAAAAACAAAACUAAUAAUUUUAUUUCUUGACGUUACCCGAAAAAGAAGCACCGGCUAACUCCGUGCCAGCAGCCGCGGUAAUACGGAGGGUGCUAGCGUUAAUCAGAAUUACUGGGCGUAAAGAGCACGUAGGUGGUUUUUUUAAGUCAGAUGUGAAUCCCUGGGCUUAACCUGGAACUGCAUUUUGAAACUGAAAUACUAGAGUAUCGUAGAGGGAGGUAGAAUUCUAGGUGUAGCGGUGAAAUGCGUAGAUAUCUGGAGGAAUACCUGUGGCGAAAGCGGCCUCCUAAACGAAUACUGACACUGAGGUGCGAAAGCGUGGGGAGCAAACAGGGAUUAGAUACC
rnacentral:rRNA from 1 species